rnacentral:rRNA from 1 species
GCUUUACACAUGCAAGUCGAACGGUAACAGGGUGCUUGCACCGCUGACGAGUGGCGAACGGGUGAGUAAUGCGUCGGAACGUGCCGAGUAGUGGGGGAUAACGCAGCGAAAGUUGUGCUAAUACCGCAUACGUACUGAGGUAGAAAGUGGGGGACCUUCGGGCCUCACGCUAUUCGAGCGGCCGACGUCUGAUUAGCUAGUAGGUGAGGUAAAGGCUCACCUAGGCGACGAUCAGUAGCGGGUCUGAGAGGAUGAUCCGCCACACUGGGACUGAGACACGGCCCAGACUCCUACGGGAGGCAGCAGUGGGGAAUUUUGGACAAUGGGCGAAAGCCUGAUCCAGCCAUGCCGCGUGUCUGAAGAAGGCCUUCGGGUUGUAAAGGACUUUUGUCAGGGAGGAAAUCCCUAGCGUUAAUACCGCUGGGGGAUGACAGUACCUGAAGAAUAAGCACCGGCUAACUACGUGCCAGCAGCCNCGGGU